CGAUACGAAUCUGACGGACGACGCGACA
rnacentral:sRNA from 1 species